rnacentral:rRNA from 1 species
AUUGAACGCUGGCGGCGUGCCUAAUACAUGCAAGUCGAACGGAGUGGCGCACGGGUGAGUAAUAUAUCGCUAAUCUGCCCUUUGCUGGAGGACAACAGUUAGAAAUGACUGCUAAUACCCCAUAGCAAGGGAUGAGACUAUAGAGUAUCAGCUAGUCGGUGGGGUAACGGCGUACCGAGGCUAUGACAAGUAACUGGUCUGAGAGGAUGAUCGGUAGCAUUGGAACUGAGACACGGUUCAGACUCAUACGGGAGGCAGCAGUAGGGAAUAUUGCGCAAUGGGGGAGACCGUGAAGCAGCUACGGCGCGUAGAGUAUGUCACGUUUCGGAGAGUAAACUCCUUUUGAUAUGGAAGCGUUACCCAAAGAAUAAGCACCGGCUAACUCCGUGCCAGCAGCCGCGGUAAUUC